ACCCUGUCCUGGACCUGGAGGAAGCGUGAUUCGCCUCCUCCAUUGUUAGAAAGCUCUCUCAGGCUGAGGUAACCCUGUUCUGGACCUGGAGGAAGCGUGAUUCGCCGCCUCCGUUGUUGGAAAGCUCUCUCAGGCUGAGGUAACCCUGUCCUGGACCUGGAGGAAGCGUGAUUCGCCGCGUCCACUGUUGGAAAGCUCUCUCAGGCUGACGUCACCCCGUCCUGGACCUGGAGGAAGCGUGAUUCGCCGCCUCCAUUGUUGGAAAGCUCUCUCAGGCUGAGGUAACCCCGUCCUGGACCUGGAGGAAGCGUGAUUCGCCGCCUCCAUUGUUGGAAAGCUCUCUCAGGCUGAGGUAACCCUGUCCUGGACCUGGAGGAAGCCUGAUUCGCCGCCUCCAUUGUUAGAAAGCUCGCUCAGGCUGAGGUAACCCUGUCCUGGACCUGGAGGAAGCGUGAUUCGCCGCCUCCAUUGUUGGAAAGCUCUCUCAGGCUGAGGUAACCCUGUCCUGGACCUGGAGGAAGCGUGAUUCGCCGCCUCCAUUGUUGGAAAGCUCUCUCAGGCUGAGGUAACCCUGUCCUGGACCUGGAGGAAGCGUGGUUUGCCGCCUGGAUUGUUAGAAAGCUCUCUCAGGCUGAGGUAACCCUGUCCUGGACCUGGAGGAAGCGUGAUUCGCCGCCUCCAUUGUUGGAAAGCUCUCUCAGGCGGACGUAACCCUGUCCUGGACCUGGAGGAAGCGUGAUUCGCUGCCUCCAUUGUUGGAAAGCUCUCUCAGGCUGAGGUAACCCUGUCCUGGACCUGGAGGAAGCGUGAUUCGCUGCCUCCAUUGUUGGAAAGCUCUCUCAGGCUGAGGUAACCCUGUUCUGGACCUGGAGGAAGCGUGAUUCGCCGCCUCCAUUGUUAGAAAGCUCUCUCAGGCUGAGGUAACCCCGUCCUGGACCUGGAGGAAGCCUGAUUCACCGCCUGGAUUGUUGGAAAGCUCUCUCAGGCUGACGUCACCCCGUCCUGGACCUGGAGGAAGCGUGAUUCGCCACCUCCAUUGUUGGAAAGCUUUCUCAGGCUGAGGUAACCCUGUCCUGGACCUGGAGGAAGCGUGAUUCGCCGCCUCCAUUGUUGGAAAGCUCUCUCAGGCUGAGGUAACCCUGUCCUGGACCUGGAGGAAGCGUGGUUUGCCGCCUGGAUUGUUAGAAAGCUCUCUCAGGCUGACGUCACCCCGUCCUGGACCUGGAGGAAGCGUGAUUCGCCACCUCCAUUGUUGGAAAGCUUUCUCAGGCUGAGGUAACCCUGUCCUGGACCUGGAGGAAGCGUGAUUCGCCGCCUCCAUUGUUGGAAAGCUCUCUCAGGCGGACGUAACCCUGUCCUGGACCUGGAGGAAGCGUGAUUCGCCGCCUCCAUUGUUGGAAAGCUCUCUCAGGCUGAGGUAACCCUGUCCUGGACCUGGAGGAAGCGUGAUUCGCUGCCUCCAUUGUUGGAAAGCUCUCUCAGGCUGACGUCACCCCGUCCUGGACCUGGAGGAAGCGUGAUUCGCCGCCUCCAUUGUUGGAAAGCUCUCUCAGGCUGAGGUAACCCUGUCCUGGACCUGGAGGAAGCGUGAUUCGCUGCCUCCAUUGUUGGAAAGCUCUCUCAGGCUGACGUCACCCCGUCCUGGACCUGGAGGAAGCGUCAUUCGCCGCCUCCAUUGUUAGAAAGCUCUCUCAGGCGGACGUAACCCUGUCCUGGACCUGGAGGGAGCCUGAUUCGCCGCCUGGAUUGUUGGAAAGCUCUCUCAGGCUGGCGUCACCCUGUCUUGGAGGAAGCGUGAUUCGCCGCCUCCACUGUUAGAAAGCCCUCUCAGGCUGAGGUAACCCUGUCCUGGACCUGGAGGAAGACUGAUUCGCCGCCUGGAUUGUUGGAAAGCUCUCUCUCAGGCUGGCGUCACCGUGUCCUGGACCUGGAGGAAGCCUGAUUGGCCGCCUCGAUUCUCUCUCAGGCUGAGGUCCCGACCCGCAAAACAGAGGUCUUCUCUAGCUUGCUGGUGGCAGACCAGGAAAGAGCCGCUUCACUGUAGUGUCUCCUGAGAUCCAGGGCAAAUGAAGGACAGGAAAGCCCCCAAGCCUUCUGGUCUGUGUCGGGGCUGCCUCAGGUGUGCAGAAGAUACAAGCAAAUGCUGUGGCAGGUGCAAGCUCCCCACCAGGUCUGCUCUGGCAUAAACAGCAGCAAGGUUCUCAAGAAAGGAAUUCUACAAGGAUUGAGAAAAAUACUGUCUAACACACUUAAAACUUUAGUUCAAAAAGCUCUCACGUAUUAGAGUUCCUGUUGGAGAUCUCUAGUCUUCUUGGCUGAGAAUAGUUUGGUGGUGGGAUUGAUGCCAGGCCAGUCACUGAGCUGGGUUGUGGAGGGAGCUUUGUUCCUGUGGGAUCGGCCCCCAUGUGAAUCUCUUCAGUGCUGGAGGCCCCUGCUUGGUUGGAUCACUAGAUUCCAUUUUUCUCUUUCAAGCUACCCUUAGCUUUUAAGCGACUGCCUUUCCCCAUCAACAUCUUGGGCUAAAAUGGAAUUUAUUAUUGAAAUGUUGGUAGGUAAACACGCGUAUGUUGUUCUUAAAACAGUGACUUUCUUCAUAAUGGUUUCCAUGUACACAAUAAUCUUUUCCUAUAAACUACAUUUAUCCAAAAGGCACACACAGGUUUUUCUGUAAACAGAAACUGGGGCUGAUGUUUUGGAAAAAAAAAAAAAAAAAAAAAAUAGAUGGCCCUUCAUCUUUCUUUCAUUUCAUGCUUCCAAAAAGACAAUCAUAUCUCUUUAUGUCUGCCUCAUAGCAUCCUGUAUUAUUAAUAUCUGUCAGAAGUCACUGCUGUCUGUGUUCCAUGCCUUGUCCUUUCAUCUCUUCCGCAUCUGCUGGAUUCAGCCCACCAUUUAUAGGUGCGUUCAGGUGCCCCACUCUAACAGUACAGAAACAACAAAAUCACCUUCAUCUUUCUUAGUCAUGCAACAUUCUUUCUAGUUAGCAUUUUAUUCCUCACUUUUAAAAUCCAGAUUUCUUUCAAUAAUAGCCAGUUGCCAUUGUCUCUAUUUCCUCAUCGUCCCCUAAUGUAUCAACACACUGAAAUCAAGUUUGUUCACUUUAACACACCGAUCAGAUUUCCUAAUGAAUACCCCCAAGACUUCUUAAUACAAAAUCCAGUGGAAUGCAUUCAAUGUUCUUUGCAUACAAUCUUGUUGGAGCAUACAACUUUGUAAAGCAUCUUUUCUUGAACAUUUCUUCUUCCUUGCUUUCAAAGAUACAAUUCUACUACUUUUGCUACAAUUUCUCUGGGUAUUAUUUUCCUGCCUUUUUAAGUUUCAUUGAUUUGUAGCAAUGGCACAAACAUAAAGUAUAUACCUUUAUGUGUUUCUACCUACGUAUUCACCAUAAAUCCAGAAAAUUAACAUAUUCAUUACCCCAAAAUCAUUUUCUCAUACCCGUCUUCCUUCCUCUUCAACCACAAUCUUAUUUUCAUCAGUAAAGAUGUAUUUGCGUUUUCUAAAUCUGAUAUAAAUGCAAUUAUACCGUAAGGCACUCUUUUGUUUCUAGCUUCUACAAUGACUCUAUUUACUUUGGGAUUUAUUUAUGUUGUUGCAGAUAUCAGUAAUUUGCUCCUUUUAUUGUUGAAUAGUAUUCUAUUGUGUGGAUACGUUAUGAAAUUUUAAUCCACUUAUUUGUUGAUAGAUCUUUGGGUCGUUUCCUGGACAAUAACUUUUAAGGCUGUCCUUAAUCAUUGAUCUCAUCUUUGACAAUUUCCCUUAUUAUUCCUCCUCGUUGACAUGGCUCUGCUUGGUUAAGUGAUCCUACACUGUAACCCACACUUUUUAAUUUGCACAACUGCAGCUUUUCUAGACUGGAAAUUUCUUUGGUUUAGAAACAAAUUGUGUAGUACCAGGCUAAGCUGACAUUGUCUGCUCCAAAAAGUGGAUGUCCAGUAAACGUUUUCUGAAUGAAUGGAUUCCCAGAUUGUUGGGCUGCCAGACAAAUUACUAUACUCACAUGUAAACUACAAAAUGAGUGAUGGGCUGGCCAGUGACUGGAGCCAUAUAGGGUUUCCCUGAUGUAUUUUUGUACCAUGUAAUUUAAUGUUUCUGGAUCUGAAAAAGGAUCCCUAGAAGAGAAAAGUAAAUAAUUCUUUGAUGUUUUUGAAAUUUUAGAAGCCUCAAGCGCAUGUCUCUUUUUUAAAAUAGUUUGGAGUGCCUUGUCCUCAACAGACAAGGAUCUUGCUGGAUCUAGCAGAGCUGCCGCUCCCCCAGGCUAUAGCUGAGGUACCCCUGCCAACCCUGCAUAAGCAUCUCAUCCUCUAUGGAUGCUGUGGAACCUCUUACACUAUUCCUGAGUCGCUAACCUGUACAGGUUUACUAUUUUUCAGUCACAUUGUUGGUGGACAUCCAUGGAAAUCCUGCGCUCCAAUUCAGAGGGAAAGAAAAAAACUAAAUCUUUCAAAGUUCUUCUCUUCUUAGUCACUAUCUCAAGCCUCCUCCUCCUUCAAGAUUUUAUGUUUUCUUCAAAAUCUCUACAGUGAGAUUUCCCAGUCUCCACCAUCCUUCCCUACUGGAAUUUUUCCCACCCUAGUGUUUGUCUCUUUUCCCCCUUCUAGUGCUGCUGGAGCAUAGCAAUGCCCAGAUUUGUGUUUACACGUGCACGUGAAUUCAUCCAGAUCAGUGCCAUGGGAGUCUGAAGUGGGGGUUUCAUCAGAACCAUCCAAGGAAAUCCUCUGUGAACCAAUGGUGCAUUAAAUUUAUUUAUUUUUCAGCUCUG